rnacentral:lncRNA from 1 species
GCCCCGAAGUUUAGAAAGACGAAGGAAUUCGAGCUGACCAAAACUGUCAUCAUUGCAGGUAAUCUCUUUUCCUUCAUAAGCGUCUACUAAGUCGAGGUUCCUUAGAUUUGACAACAUUCCCAAAAUAGGCAUUGGAUCUUCAACGAGUCUUGAGCUCCAAAGCACCAUCAUUGUGAUGGAUUUUGGCAACUGAUCUGAGAGAGGAAGUUUUUCUAUUUUCCCGUGUAACCAUAAUUUGUUGAGGUUUUGACAAGAAGAAAGAGGUUCAAGGGGUGGAAAUGGUUCACCAUAUUCGCAACCCAAUAUGAGAGUUCUAAGACUUUUCAAGCUGCCAAUGACAUUCAGCGAGUAAGAGUUCAUAACUUUUUCCAUGACUAAUUCUUGAAGAUUGAGUAAACCUACAGCAUCAUCAUAUUUCAAACGAUCACAACGAAUGUAUUUAAGAGUUUGUAGACUUGUAAGCUUGCUGAGCUGCACAGCUCCUUCAUAUCGAGCAAUUAAAUGUCUCAAGUUUAUUAGGUUAGACAUCUGGGGAGGUAGUAUGCAUGAGCUACGAUCAGGGUUCAAAACUUGGAGAGUUUGUAAGUUUUUGAGUUUGCCAAUGGAGGGUGGGAGUUUAAAGUCAUUAGCACCUAGCAAACCUAAGAACUUAAGAUGGACCAGAUUGCCUAUGGCAUCAGGUAGUGCAGGUUGAGUGAAACGGAUUCUCUCCAAAUCUAGCACAUACAGAUGUUGGAACAUAUUGCAGUAAGAAGUAAACUUCUUACUGUCCUGGCUACCUAUUUCUACAUCAAAGAACAGAAGUGUCCUUAACUUCAAUGUUGAAAAGUCAAGUGAGAGGUACCUUUGUGCUUGAGCAUGAAUGGCGUGUCUGUGGCGCGAGAGGGGCACAGAGUGCUUUCUUGGAUCAUAAAUAUCGAACAAGUUUACCUCUGUGGCCUUUUUCACGGCAAGAUCCCGAAGUAGGUCAUGGAUUCUACAUCCAAUAAUCUUCUCCCAAAAUGUUUUUGCCACUUGAAUCAAGCUUCGUCUUACUAGCUCAUUUAGGAAGUCCUCAGCGACGUCCUCCAUUCUUUCUCCCACUCUAGGUAUGAAGCCCUCGGCCAUCCACAAGCACAUCAACUUUUCUGUGUUGAUCACACUAUCUUCUGGAAAAAUACCAAAAUAAAGAAAACAUUGCUUGAGCUCUGUUGACAAAUCAUUGUAGCUUAAUGAUAAAAUGUGAGAGAUCUCAAUUGAGUUAUUCUGCAUGUGAUGCCAAAGGUGUGCCUUCACCUUUUUCCAUUCUACUAGUCCUUUUUUAUGGGAAAGUAACCCGCUUAGUACAACAAUGGCAAGCGGUAAGCCUCCACAUCUUUCCACCAUUUCGCUAGCUAUUCUUUCCAUUGCUGGAGACCACCCAAUGUUGUCAAACUUGUCUACGCGACGCAGCUUCUUGCAGAAGAGGUCCCAACUUUCUUCUUGUCCUAGGAAACGAAGUUUAUAUGCAAAACCUUUGUUGUCCGCACUUUCAGCCACAUCCUCCUUGCGCGUGGUAAUAAUAACUCUGCAGCCCUUCUUGCUAUCUGGGAAUGCUCUUUUCAAACUUUCCCAUGCCUCUUUAUGCCAUACAUCAUCAACCACCAAAAGGUACUUGCGCUCUUUCAAUAGAUCACGAAGGUAACUUUCUAAAUCUCUCUCUGUCAUCUUCUCCAACAAAUCUAGAAUUUCUUUGGUGCAACCUUGGAUGGAUUUUAUGAUAUUUCGUAGGAGAUCUGGGGUGUUGAACUCUUGAGAAACACAUAUCCAAGCGCGUGUUGGGAAGCUAGUGAUUAGACUAGGGGAGUUGUAGAGGUUUCUUGCAAGAGUGGUCUUGCCUAUACCACCCAUACCAUAAAUGGAGAUGACACUUUGUCGAGGCUCUUCUUUGAGAAGUUCAGCAAGAAAUCUUUCAAUGACUUCCUGAAAGCCAACAAAAAUCUGAUCCUGAUCAUCUGCAUAGGAGGUAGUUCUCCUCAAUGUUCUAAUCAGAGCGGACCGAUUGUUAGACCUAUUACUUGGCCCUUCUCCUGCAAUAAUAUUGAUAUUUCUGAUACCAUAAGUCUCUCGUUUGCGAGAGAUAUCCAUGAUGCGUUUCUUGAGGGAUUGGAUCUCCUUGCCGACAUUGUAGAGUUUGGUCUCCUUCCUACAGAUGCAAGCGCAAGACUUAAGACGACUAGCAAAUCCAUGAUCAGUACUGCCUUUUCCUGCCACAUUGGAGCUAUAAGUCUCCAAUAUAGCGACGGUGUCAUUAGCAAUAGAGCUGAUUUCAAAUAUCCAUUGUUGAACUCUUAGAUCUUCAACUUGCUUUUCUUCUGCAUCUUUGAAGAAAGAUUGCAUGAAUAGCAGCUCAUUUCUCAGCCACUGCACAUUCUCUCUCAGACUUCUGCGCAAGGCAACUUCUUGUAUGAGGAAAUUGCCCAGCUUUUCAACUGCAAAUGAUACAAAAGCAUCAACCAUUUUCAGGAAUCUUUGUUUUAAGAAAGUGUUGUUCUUCUCGAGUGUGCAGUUGAUGUCAUUCCUAAUGUGCUAUAUAUAUGCACUUGUAUUAUGCUUUGUUCUGCUUUUCACUUUUUCUUUUUAGAUAUAUAUAUUAUAAGUUUGCCUGUGUUCAGGGAAAAUGCCACUGAGGAGGAAGCAUAUUUUGAUUAAAACAUCAAACAAAGAAUGUAUAGGGCGUGGAACAGGAAUUUCAGAGUUAUAUUUGUCAGACAACUCAUCCCAAGAUUUAACUAACCCACUUUUUCCUGAUUCUGUGGAAACACCAACAGUUUUGGGAUCUUUGCACAAAUAGCUGGUUGGAUCAUUGUUUAUUUUCGCUAGCCGGUAUACAUAGAAUAUGCACUGAUUAUACACGUAUUGUACAUAUAUUAUACAUUCUCCUGCUAUUUUUUGUUUAAGCGGUUGGACGAAUGACUAUUUAGGUUAAUUCUUCAAAGAUUUUUUUUUUACCUUUUCAAGGCCAUAAGAAAGUUGUAGUAGCUGCCACAAUAACUGAAGGUUGCCAACCUUAGUACUGUAAUAGCCAGAGGUGGAUUCAGGAUUUGAAGGCUCCGGGUGCCAUAUUGCUUUGGACUU